CAGCUAUGUAUCUACAAUGCGUUACUGGUUACUGGAGUAUUUGAGGCAGUCAUUCACGACUGAGCUACCAUGGACCUCCUGUGGGAACACAUGGAACACUAAUUCAUGUAUAGUUUCGCACACACUUUUGUCCUCGAGUACCAAUAGAAGCUUACAUAAUUCCACAACAAACACUACCGGUUACCUGUUUACUACUGAUGUUUUAGCAGAGGAGGAAUUCUGGCAGCAUAACAUCCUAUCCUUGUCAGGUGGUAUUGAAGAAGUGGGGUAUCUUCGCUGGACGCUCGUUUUAUAGGCAAUACUCCUCAAAGUGAUUGUCAUUGUGAGUCUUUUAAAGAGCGUGAAGACCAUUGGAAAGCUGAUGCUUUUUACUACCUUCUUCCCUCCUCUUAUUGGAUUUGCGAUGUUGAUUCAAGCGUUGACUCAAAAUGGCGCGAAAGAUGGUCUAUUAUUCCUUAUAACGCCAGAUUUCACUAGACUGGCAGACUCUAAGGUAUGGAUAGAGGCGUCUUUCAUGGCAUUUCUACAGUCUUGGACCUGCCUUUGGUGGCGUAUUAGUGAUGGGAAGUCAUGUGAAAUUCCAUAGUAUCUGUCUCCGGUAAAUAUAUUCCACCCAUCUGAUUUAUAUCUGCCUUAGAUUUGUACAUGUAUAUCUACAUACAUGGAAGUACAUGGUAUAUAAAUAUCAGUGAAAUAUUAACCACAGAACGUGCAUUAACUACGUCGUUUUAACUUGCGGUUAUAAGGGAUUUAUAUCCGUAGGCAAA